GCGGCGAGUGAGCGGCAAGAGCUCAGAUUUGAAAUCGUGUUUCGGCACGAGUUGUAGAGUGUAGGCGGGAGUCUCUGUGGAGCGCGGUGUCCAAGUCCCUUGGAACAGGGUGCCUGAGAGGGUGAGAGCCCCGUAGGGUGCUGCGCGAAGCUUUUGAGGCCCUGCUGACGAGUCGAGUUGUUUGGGAAUGCAGCUCCAAGCGGGUGGUAAAUUCCAUCUAAGGCUAAAUAUUGGCGAGAGACCGAUAGCGAACAAGUACUGUGAAGGAAAGAUGAAAAGCACUUUGAAAAGAGAGUGAAACAGCACGUGAAAUUGUUGAAAGGGAAGGGUAUUGGGCUCGACAUGGGGGGUGCGCACCGCUGUCUCUUGUAGGCGGCGCUCUGGGCGCCCUCUGGGCCAGCAUCGGUUCCUGCUGCGGGAGAAGGGGCUCCGGAAAGUGGCUCUUCGGAGUGUUAUAGCCGGGGCCAGAUGCCGCGUGUGGGGACCGAGGACUGCGGCUUCUGUCUCGGAUGCUGGCAUAACGGCGCAAUACCGCCCGUCUUGA
rnacentral:rRNA from 1 species